GUGGCCGCCGCCGCGGUAAUACCGGCAGCCCAAGUGAUGGCCACUCUUAUUGGGCCUAAAGCGUCCGUAGCCGGCCUCGCAAGUCCGUCGGGAAAUCCAGUAGCUCAACUACUGGGCGUCCGGCGGAAACUACAAGGCUUGGGACCGGAAGGCUCGAGGGGUACGUCCGGGGUAGGAGUGAAAUCCCGUAAUCCCGGACGGACUACCGAUGGCGAAAGCACUCUGAGAAGACGGCUUCGACAGUGAGGGACGAAAGCUCGGGUCUCAAACCGGAUUAGAUACUCGAGUAGUCC
rnacentral:rRNA from 1 species